UAGAAUCUAGUCGGGCCAUGAGCGCUGC
rnacentral:sRNA from 1 species